rnacentral:rRNA from 1 species
UACGGAGGAUGCAGGCGUUAUCCGGAUUUAUUAGGUUUAAAGGGUGCGUAGGCGGCCAUGUAAGUCAGCGUUGAAAGUCUGCGGCUCAACCGUAGAACCGGCAUUGAUACUGCAUGGCUCGGAUGUGGCGGAAGUAGGCGGAAUGUGCAGUGUAGCGGUGAAAUGCUUAGAUAUUGUACAGAACACCGAUUGCGAAGGCAGCUUACUACACCAUUAUUGACGCUGAGGCACGAAAGCGCGGGGAUCGAAC